rnacentral:rRNA from 1 species
CCUACGGGAGGCAGCAGUCGGGAAUAUUGCGCAAUGGAGGAAACUCUGACGCAGUGACGCCGCGUAUAGGAAGAAGGUUUUCGGAUUGCAAACUAUUGUCGUUAGGGAAGAGAAAGGACGGUACCUAAGGAGGAAGCCCCGGCUAACUAUGUGCCAGCAGCCGCGGUAAU